rnacentral:rRNA from 1 species
UAGGGAAUCUUCCACAAUGGACGCAAGUCUGAUGGAGCAACGCCGCGUGAGUGAAGAAGGUCUUCGGAUCGUAAAACUACUGUUGUUAGAGAAGAACACGAGUGAGAGUAACUGUUCAUUCGAUGACGGUAUCUAACCAGCAAGUCACGGCUAACUACGUGCCAG